rnacentral:misc_RNA from 1 species
GAUGAAGAACGCAGCGAAAUGUGAUACGUAGUGUGAAUUGCAGAAUUCAGUGAAUCAUCGAAUCUUUGAACGCACAUUGCACCUCUCGGUAUUCCGGGAGGUAUGCCUGUUCGAGCGUCAUUUGUACCCUCAAGCUCUGCUUGGUGUUGGGUGUUUGUUCCGCCUCUGUGUGUGAACUCGCCUCAAAACAAUUGGCAGCCGGCGUACUUGUUUCGGAGCGCAGCACAUUUUGCGAUCCAGAUCAACGUACAGCGGCAUCCAAGAAGCCUUAUUUAACGCUCUUGACCUCGGAUCAGGAAGGGAUACCCGCUGAACUUAAGCAUAUCAAUAAGCGGAGGA